CCCUUAGAUGUUCUGGGCCGCACGCGCGCUACACUGACGAAGUCAGCGAGCAUGUCCUACGCCGACAGGUGCGGGGAAUCUUGUCAAACUUCGUCGUGAUGGGGAUUGAUUAUUGAAAUUCUUGAUCAUCAACGAGGAAUUCCUAGUAAGCGCAAGUCAGCAGCUUGCGUUGAUUACGUCCCUGCCCUUUGUACACACCGCCCGUCGCUACUACCGAUUGAAUGGUGUAGUGAGAUCUUCGGAUUGGCGCCACUGCGGCUCAGCAAUGGGCUCGGUGGAUGCCGAAAAGUUGAUCAAACUUGAUCAUUUAGAGGAAGUAAAAGUCGUAACA
rnacentral:rRNA from 1 species